AUUGAACGCUGGCGGCAGGCCUAACACAUGCAAGUCGAACGAGUGGCGGACGGGUGAGUAAUGUCUGGGAAACUGCCCGAUGGAGGGGGAUAACUACUGGAACCGGUAGCUAAUACCGCUUACCAUCGGAUGUGCCCCGAUGGGAUUUGCUAGUGGGUGGGGUAACGGCUCACCUAGGCGACGAUCCCUAGCUGGUCUGAGAGGAUGACCAGCAACACGGGAACGGGUACACGUGCCGAACUCCUAGGGAGGGCAUAGGUGGGGAAUAUUGCACAAUGGGGGCAAGCCUAAUACAGAAAUGCCGCGGGUAUGAAGAAGGCCUUCGGUUUUUAAAGUACGUUCAGCGAGGAGGCGUUAAUCGCAGAAGAAGCACCGGCUAACUCCGUGCCAGCAGCCGCGGUAAUUC
rnacentral:rRNA from 1 species